GUGCUUGCUUCAGUAGCACAUAUACUAAAAUUAAAAUGAUACAGAGAAGAUUAGCAUGGCCCCUGCACAAGAAUGACAUGCAAAUUCAUGAAGCAUUCCAAAUUUUU
ensembl:snRNA U6 U6 spliceosomal RNA